UACGUAGGGGGCUAGCGUUGUCCGGAAUCAUUGGGCGUAAAGCGCGUGUAGGCGGCCCGGUAAGUCCGCUGUGAAAGUCGGGGGCUCAACCCUCGGAUGCCGGUGGAUACUGUCGGGCUCGAGUACGGAAGAGGCGAGUGGAAUUCCUGGUGUAGCGGUGAAAUGGCGCAGAUAUCAGGAGGAACACCAAUUGCGAAGGCAGCUCGCUGGGACGUUACUGACGCUGAGACGCGAAAGCGUGGGGAGCAAACAGG
rnacentral:rRNA from 1 species